rnacentral:rRNA from 1 species
GAUGAACGCUGGCGGCAUGCCUAACACAUGCAAGUCGGACGGGAAGUGGUGUUUCUUGUUGCUCACGGGUUAGUAACGCGUAAGAACCUGCCCUUUGGAUGGCAACACUAUCUGGAAACGGCUACUACUACCCCCUAGGCUUAGUACCAAAAGGUGGAAUCCGCCCAAGGAGGGGCUCGCGUCUGAUUAGUUAGGUGGUGCGUCAAUAGCUUACCAAGGCGACUAACAGUAGCUGUUGCGAGAGGAUGAUCGGCCACACUGGGACUGAGACACGGAGCAGACUACUACGGGAGACAGGAGUGGGGAAGAUGGAGCAAUGGGGGAAAGGCUGACGGAGCAAUGCGGCGGGAAGGCAGAAGGCCAACGGGUCAUGAAAUUCGUUUGUAGGAGAAGAAAAAAUGACGGUAUCUGAGGAAUAAGCAUCGGCUAACUAUGUG